CAAAACAAAUGUUCACUCGUACAUAACAAUGUAUUCUGCGUUUGUUUUCCACUGCUGUGUAUUCAAAAAUCAUCAAAUUUUGUUUUGUAUAAUAGUCGCAUAUAAUAAAAGGUUAUUGCAAAAUAUAUGUAUGUAUGUUCAAUUUUUUUAGUUCUAAUUGCUCGCUCACCGCGUUUUGUUGUUGCCAAUUGGAUUUGCAUUCUAGAUUUCUUUCGUGUUGUUAUUGUAAUACCACAAAUAUACAUACAUACUUAAUAGGUGUAAGAGAAGUUUAUCUCUUUUGCAAAUAAGCAAAGCAACGGGAGAAAGGAAGAAAGAUGGAUAACGGAAUGCGCGUGUGUGUGUGUUUAUUUGAGUGAAGUGAGCGCAAGAGAGAUCGGGUUUUCGUUUUUGUUGUUUUUUUAUGUGUAAAUUCUACA